GUGCCAGCCGCCGCGGUAAUACGUAGGGUGCGAGCGUUGUCCGGAAUUAUUGGGCGUAAAGAGCUCGUAGGCGGUCUGUCGCGUCUGCUGUGAAAACCCGAGGCUCAACCUCGGGCCUGCAGUGGGUACGGGCAGACUAGAGUGCGGUAGGGGAGAAUGGAAUUCCUGGUGUAGCGGUGGAAUGCGCAGAUAUCAGGAGGAACACCGAUGGCGAAGGCAGUUCUCUGGGCCGUAACUGACGCUGAGGAGCGAAAGCGUGGGGAGCGAACAGGAUUAGAUACCCUGGUAGUCCACGCCGUAAACGUUGGGCGCUAGAUGUAGGGACCAUUCCACGGUUUCCGUGUCGCAGUUAACGCAUUAAGCGCCCCGCCUGGGGAGUACGGCCGCAAGGCUAAAACUCAAAGGAAUUGACGGGGGCCCGCACAAGCGGCGGAGCAUGCGGAUUAAUUCGAUGCAACGCGAAGAACCUUACCAAGGCUUGACAUAUACGAGAACGGGCUAGAAAUAGUCAACUCUUUGGACACUCGUAAACAGGUGGUGCAUGGUUGUCGUCAGCUCGUGUCGUGAGAUGUUGGGUUAAGUCCCGCAACGAGCGCAACCCUCGUUCUAUGUUGCCAGCACGUAAUGGUGGGAACUCAUAGGAGACUGCCGGGGUCAACUCGGAGGAAGGUGGGGAUGACGUCAAAUCAUCAUGCCCCUUAUGUCUUGGGCUUCACGCAUGCUACAAUGGCCGGUACAAAGGGCUGCAAUACCGCAAGGUGGAGCGAAUCCCAAAAAGCCGGUCUCAGUUCGGAUUGAGGUCUGCAACUCGACCUCAUGAAGUCGGAGUCGCUAGUAAUCGCAGAUCAGCAACGCUGCGGUGAAUACGUUCCCGGGCCUUGCACACACCGCCCGUC
rnacentral:rRNA from 1 species